UUUUAUCUUCCAUCUCUAUUUUGCCAAUUUAUUUAUACAACAUAAAAUAAUAUAUAUCUUUGUUUAAUACAUGUCAAUAUAUAUUUUAUUUUUUAUGUUAUUUAAACAACACAUUCAAAAACACCAAUAUUUAAAAAACAUAAAAAUAAAAUCAAAGUUUAAAGUAUAAAAAUAAAAA
rnacentral:misc_RNA from 1 species